AUGCUCAAAAGCCAUCCAGCCACACUCCCCUGCAGCUUGCAUUCCUCUCUGCAGCUUCUUAGAAAAAGCAAAGAGAUCCAGCCUGAGCCUCAGGCAUCUCUGGAGCCAUGGGAAAGCGCCAAGGAGGAUUUGGUUGUCAGACCAAUGUACUCUGCAGUUGCUCGGAGGAAAAGCAUAAGGCAGGAAGGCCACACCUCACUCCUUGGUCGCUCUUCUCUCCUCCUUCCCUCCCUUGAGCCUUUCCUUCUUCCUUCUCGCCACUCGUUUCUCAGCCUUCUUCUCCUCUGCCUCUGUUUCCUCCUCGGUGUUGAUCUCCUUCCCAGCCUCUUCCUUGGCUCUCCUCUAAUAAGGCCUCACUCUCGACCUCUUAAUCUUUCCCGCUCUCUCUCUUUUGUCUUCCGAGGACUCCCAUCCUUGUCCUUAUCCUCUCCAUCUCCUGCCCCACCUCCUCUCCAGGCAGAGACCAAAUUAACCUGCUUUGUGCCUGGUGCAAAACACCGCAGAGACCCCGGAACGAGGAGCAGGGAGGCCUGUCAAUCCCGCAGAUUUGGGUCUGAAGUCAAAUGAGAUUGGCACCGCGUACCUGACAUACCCCAGAGGUAAUCGUGGCUCUCCAAGAACAAGAGCGGGAUGAAUCAUUCAGCCCUGUGAUCCUCCAGAUGCUGGGAAACAACAUCUGGCAAUUUCAGAAUCAACGGCAAUCAUCUUUGAGAUUUGAGGUCCCAAAAAGAGGUUCCAACAGAGUGGAAGAAGGCAAAUGUUGCCCCCAUUCUCAAAACAAUUACCGCCUGCCCAGUCAACUGAUCACUUUGAUUAACAUCCUCCCAACAAAGGAUUCCCCCAGGCAGGAAGCAACCAAUCUUUGAAGCUGCAAGACCAUUCGGUGCUAAUCAAGGCGGCCAAUUGCAACAUUCACACUUGCCUCAAACAGACAGGAGUUCUUUCUCCCAUCCUGGACAUUAUUCCACAGGUAUAUCAACCGCACUUGCCUAGUUUCCAACAGAUCUCACAACCUCUGAGGAUGCCUACCAUAGAGAUGGGUGAAACAUCAGGAGAAAAUGCUUCUGGGACUUGGCCAUCAUGCAAACUAUCCAUAUUUGUCUGUUUUCAACUGUGGAACAUUUUGGAACACAUUGGAAUGUGUCCAGUGAUGAGCUGAAUGGUCAAAGGUCUGGAAGCCAAGCCCUAUGAGAAGUGGCUUAGGAAGAUGUUUAGCCUCACAACCUCUGAGGAUGCCUGCAAUAGAUAUGGGUGAAACGUCAGGAGGGAAUGCUUCUGGUACAUGGCUAUACAGUCUGGAAAACUCACAGCAACCCAGUGUUUCUGGCCAUGAAGGCCUUUGGCAACAGAGGAAAGGGCUACUUCCAGUCCUAACCAUUUCUGAGAGAUACCGUGUUUCCCUGAAAAUAAGACAGUGUCUUAUAUUAAUUUUUGCUCCCAACGAUGCGCUAGGUCUUAUUUUCAGGGAAUGUCUUCUUUUUCCAUAAAGAAGAAUUCACAUUUAUUGUUGAACAAAAAAAAUGAACAUUUAUUAUAUACGGUACAGUAGUUGUCAUCACAAACCAGCACAACCAGACAAACUGUGAAUCCUAUCAAGAAUUUCUUGUUACUACCAAUAUUUCCAUGUACAACACUCUAUGGUAUGUAAAUUUACCGAUCCUGCAUGCUCUGGUGUUCUGUUUGGCGGACAUGCUUCCAAACAAAAACUUUGCUAGGUCUUACUUUCAGGGGAGGCCUUAUAUUUAGCAAUUCAGCAAAACCUCUACUAGGUCUUAUUUUCUGGGGAAAUAGGGUAGGAAAGGGUUGCUUUCAAGGGAGAGGACUGAACCCCACAGAGUCCUUUUCCAUGCCUUCCAUGUGCGCAGCCUUUUUGCAAGAGGCUGCAGAAACCGGACUCCGUUCCCACACUCUUCUCCGGCCCGUUUGCCCCUUGGAUGAAACAUGAGCCCAACGCAUCUGCUCCUCGCCUCUUGCCCCGGCUGACAUUCCGGCCCCUCCUGCCAGGCUUCGGUUUCUCCUUUGCUCCAUCUUCUCUUCUUUCUUCCUUUCUUUCCUUUUUGGUGUAGCUCUUUCUCUCUCUCUCUCUCUCUCUCUCUUUCCCCCCAUUUCCUCCCCCUCUGUUUCCCAAUCUGCUUUCCCUGGAUUUCCUUCAGGGCUUGUAAGCAUGAGUUGGCUUCUGGUUUCGCCUUCGCUCUUUCCGCAGGCGCUGGCUUAUCCGUGCCUUCGGUCCCUCUGGCUCUUGUCCAUCCUCCUCCCAGGGUGCCCUUCCCUUUGCACAUGGGGCAAAGUGGGGAAGGGGAGGAAAGGGGAGGGGAGAGGCCCCCCAGCUCUUGCAAAGCUUCUGCACAUCCCCUCGUUCCUCUCCUCCUCCCUCUUCUCUGUGUUGAUGCGCGGCUGAGCAUGCUGCGCAUCCGUCUUCCUGCUCUUGGAAGAAGGAGCAGAAGAAAUGGCAAUUUGUGCUUUCGGCCCCUCUUCCCAGUCUCUUGCCUGCCUUGGUGGCAUCGCUUCGGACCUACCGCCCUUGGCAUCGUCGCAGGCAACUUCUUCUUCAACGCAAGGCCAACGUUCAGCCUUUCUUUUAAAUAAAGUUUUCGUUGAGUGAUUUAAUGGCAUACGAAAUGUAAAAAAAGGAAACUAGAGAAAUGUAAAAAAAAAGGAAACUAACUGGUGGUGGCGCAGUGUGUUAAAGCGCUGAGCUGCUGAACUUGCGGACCAAAAGGUCCCAGGUUCAAAUCCUGGGAGCCGAAUGAGCGCCCGCUGUUAGCCCCAGCUUCUGCCAACCUAGCAGUUCGAAAACAUCCAAUGUGAGUAGAUCAAUAGGUACUGCCCCGGCAGGAAGGUAACAACGCUCCAUUCAGUCAUGCCAGUAGCCACAUGACCUUGGAGGUGUCUAUGGACAACGCCGGCUCUUCGGCUUAGAAAUGGAGAUGAGCACCAACCCCCAGAGUCGGUCACGACUGGACUUAGCGUCAAGAGAAAACCUUUACCUUUACCUAGAGAUGAUCAAGGGCACAUAAUACAGGUGUGCUGUUCCCACAAACAAGUACAUGCCACAUUCUCUUGAAUGAACCACUUCUCCAUAAUAGAUUACUUACUCAACUACCUCGUGUUACAGUUUUCACUCGUGGCACUUUGCUCAGUUUGUUUCCCCCCUCUACUUGGGUGCCAAAUCCAUGUUUUUACUAUGGUUAUUUUAUAUUUUUACUAUGUUCAGAGUGUUAAAUUUUAAUGCCUGUGUUUGUAUUUCUUAGUGUUAAUUUAUCUUGGUUUGGUGUUUUUAUCAGGGCUUGGCCCCAUGUAAGCUGCCCCAAGUCCCUUCAGGCAA
rnacentral:lncRNA from 11 species